GAAAGAUGCCAUGAAAAUCUAUACAGUGGGAAAGAAGCAGACAGGCCUAUUACUUAUGUUCCUCUAGCAAGGCAGCAGAACAGACAUAGUAGCAUGGAAGAGCAGCAUUCAUUUUGAAUUUGGUUUUCUAAUCUAAUUGCUGAAGAAAGAUGGGUUGGUUUAUUAAAAUGAUUUCUGGAGAAGGCUCUAAUGCUGGAAAAGGUGGAAGCAAAGAGAAGAGGGUGACCAGAGCAAGAUGGAUGGACUCAAUUGCAAUGCACUGUUGGAAGAACUGAAAGAUCAAGUUAAGGACAAAUUGUGAUGGAGAAAGUGUUUCUAUCUGGUGAAUAAGGAUUGAUAACAACUUGAAGGCACAUAAUCAAUUAUUAAAAUUAUUAAAAUAAAAAUUAAAA